rnacentral:rRNA from 1 species
GUAGGGGGCGAGCGUUGUCCGGAAUCAUUGGGCGUAAAGCGCGUGUAGGCGGCUCAAUAAGUCUGGUGUGAAACCUUGGGGCUCAACCCCAAGCCUGCACUGGAUACUGCUGAGCUUGAGUCCGGGAGGGGAGAGCGGAAUUCCUAGUGUAGCGGUGAAAUGCGCAGAUAUUAGGAAGAACACCGGUGGCGAAGGCGGCUCUCUGGAACGGUACUGACGCUGAGACGCGAAAGCGUGGGGAGCGAACAGGAUUAGAUACCCUGGUAGUCCACGCCGUAAACGAUGGGCACUAGAUGUGGGCGGUGUCGACUCCGUCCGUGUCGAAGCUAACGCAUUAAGUGCCCCGCCUGGGGAGUACGGCCGCAAGGCUA